AUUGAACGCUGGCGGCAGGCCUAACACAUGCAAGUCGAGCGGAUGAAGGGAGCUUGCUCCUGGAUUCAGCGGCGGACGGGUGAGUAAUGCCUAGGAAUCUGCCUGGUAGUGGGGGAUAACGUCCGGAAACGGGCGCUAAUACCGCAUACGUCCUGAGGGAGAAAGUGGGGGAUCUUCGGACCUCACGCUAUCAGAUGAGCCUAGGUCGGAUUAGCUAGUUGGUGGGGUAAAGACCUACCAAGGCGACGAUCCGUAACUGGUCUGAGAGGAUGAUCAGUCACACUGGCACUGCGACACGGUCCAGACUCCUACGGGAGGCAGCAGUGGGGAAUAUUGGACACUGGGCGAAAGCCUGAUCCAGCCAUGCCGCGUGUGUGAAGAAGGUCUUCGGAUUGUAAAGCACUUUAAGUUGGGAGGAAGGGCAGUAAGUUAAUACCUUGCUGUUUUGACGUUACCCACAGAAUCAGCCCCGGCUAACUUCGUG
rnacentral:rRNA from 1 species